GCACCGGCUAACUCCGUGCCAGCAGCCGCGGUAAUACGGAGGGUGCAAGCGUUACUCGGAAUCACUGGGCGUAAAGGGCGCGUAGGCGGAUUAUCAAGUCUCUUGUGAAAUCUAAUGGCUUAACCAUUAAACUGCUUGGGAAACUGAUAGUCUAGAGUGAGGGAGAGGCAGAUGGAAUUGGUGGUGUAGGGGUAAAAUCCGUAGAUAUCACCUAGAAUACCCAUUGCGAAGGCGAUCUGCUGGAACUCAACUGACGCUAAGGCGCGAAAGCGUGGGGAGCAAACGGGAUUAGAUACCCGGGUAGUCCACGCCCUAAACAAUGUACACAAGUGGUUGGGAUGCUAGUCACCUGAGUAAUGCAGCUAACGCAUUAGGUGUACCGCCUGGGGAGUACGGUCGCAAGAUUAAAACUCAAAGGAAUAGACGGGGACCCGCACAAGCGGUGAAGCAUGUGGUUAAAUUCGAAGAUCCACGAAGAACCUUACCUGGCCUUGAUAUCCUAAGACCCUUAUAGAGAUAUGAGGGUGCUAGCUUGCUAGAACUAAGAGACAGGUGCUGCACGCCUGUCGUCAGCUCGUGUAGUGAGAUGUUGGGUUAAGUCCCGCAACGAGCGCAACCCACGUAUUUAGUUGCGAACGCUUCGGCUGAGCACUCUAAAUGGACUGCCUUCGUCAGGGGCAGGAAGCUGU
rnacentral:rRNA from 1 species